CGGCAUGUGCUGCAACUGGAAGACAGGCUGGUCUCAGAAGCCAGCGGCCAUAGGCCAUUGUGGGUUCGAUUCCCACCAUGUCGA
rnacentral:tRNA from 1 species